AUGUACAGCUGGAGCAAGAGAGAAGUGAAGAAUAACAGAACCCUCUGAUGUGUGUGUUUGUGUGUUGGAACAUGGAGCCUCUCUCUCUCUUUUCGCCCCCCAUUCUCCCCCCAUCACAGGAGCAGUGCUGGAUCCUGUCCACAUUGUCGAUUGUGCCAUUCUUCAAAUGUACUUUUCGGUUUCCGCCCAUAAAUUUUUUAGCAUCCCCAUUAAGUAUAAGGUAAUUGCAUUGGCUCUAUAUAACGCCCCGAGCUACGAGACUAAUUAAAGCAGAAACAGGAGUUUAGGCAUAUUUAUUAAGAAGACUUCGAUUAAUUAUGGAAGACAGACGUGUGACUUUAAAUGAGAGAUAUUAAGAGAGAGAUGAUCCUCAUCCUCCAGCACCCAGACCCUUAUAGACAGCCGAAGGCUGGGAGGGAGAGAGAAGGAGAAAGAGAGAGAGGCAUGGAGUGAGAGAAGGAGAAGGAGAGAGAGGCAUGGCGUGAGAGAAGGAGAAGGAGAGAGAGGCAUGGCGUGAGAGAAGGAGAAGGAGAGAGAGGCAUGGCGUGAGAGAAGGAGAAGGAGAGAAAUAGGCAUGGAGUGAGAGAAGGAGAAAGAGAAAUAGGCAUGGAGUGAGAGAAGGAGAAAGAGAGAAAUAGGCAUGGAGUGAGAGAAGGAGAAAGAGAGAAAUAGGCAUGGAGUGAGAGAAGGAGAAAGAGAGAAAUAGGCAUGGAGUGAGAGAAGGAG
ensembl:lncRNA